rnacentral:lncRNA from 10 species
UUUCACCAUGUUGGUCAGGAUGGUCUUGAUCUCUUGACUUCAUGAUCCACCUACCUUGGCUUCCCAAAGUGCUGGGAUUACAGGUGUGAGCCACCACGCCUAGCCUGAGACUUUCAAGUAAAGCCACAAUGGACCACAGAGCUUAGACAUCAGAGCUAACAUGGAAUCCCUGUCAUUAAAUCUUGAGAUCUUAUUAUGUUUGCUCAAAGAGAAAAAUAAUCACAAUUGACAUUUUGAGGAGAAGACAUCUGAAUGUAAACUUGAUCUUAGAGGAUAUUAAGGAAUUGCUGGUAAUUUGAUUAGGUAUGACAAUGAUCAUAUAAAAAAUGCCCUCAUGUUUUUAGAGGGAAAGUAAAUUACGUAGGGGUGAAUAUCAUGAUGCAAUUACAAAACUACUGUAAACUAUUUUUUAAAUACUUCAGAAAAACAAAUGGAGUAAAUAUUACAAACUUUAAUAGUUUUUAAACCUAUGUGAUCGGUAUAUGAUAGCUCAUUAAAGUAGUCUCUGUACUUUUAUGUAUAUUGAAAAUUUUUCAUAAUAAUAAUAAAAAAAAAACCUUGGCCAGGCACAGCAGCUCAUGCCUGUAAUCCCAGCACUUUGGAAGGCCGAGGUGGAUGGAGGACUGCUUGAGCCCAAGAGUUUGAGACCAGCCUAGGCAACAUGGUGAAUCCUCAUCUCUACAAAAAAUAGACAAAUUAGUCAGGCAUGGUGGUGUGCACCUGCAGUCCCAGCUACUCAGGAGGCUGAGGUGGGAGGAUCACCUGAGCCCAGAAGGUCAAGGCUGCAGUGAGCCAAGGUCAUGCCACCGCACUCCAGCCUGGGCGACAGACCUUGUCUCAAACAAACAAGCAAACCAAAACCCUCUUGGUCCCAUUUCCCAAAAAAUGAUUUUUUUGAGAUCUUACCAUCUCCUGGCUUGGUGCAGAGUACAGGAAAUCAAGACAAAGUACAGCACACAAGGAAUAAGGAGGGAGGGAAGUGUGGGGGAGGCUGACUCUGUGGACUCUCCCAGCUCAGUCGACCCAUGCGCCUUGCUUCAUGGAAGAAAGGAAUGGAAGAUGAAUCGUGCCUUUCACACACAGUGACCUUCCUCACUAGUAAAUGCGCCUUCAGAAGUGUCCAAGAGGUCAGUGCCACAGCCAGGCUGGCUGCAUGAGAAUCACCUGCGAGCUUUUGCAAACAUAGGCCCCUAUUGGGUCCACAUGUAUUCAUCUCUUGGAGAGGAGGAGAGAGGCAGAACAAGGAAAAGGAUGGGAAGAAACCAGCCUUGUGCACAGGAGGAUGCUGGGAUUCCUCCUGCACGUUUAGCACAAUGCAGCCUAUUUUACAAGGUCACAGAAGCUCAGAGAGCAGUCCUGGGAAAGAAGCAGAUGUGGUUUCCGAUCCCACUUUCCAGAAGAGGAGACUGAACAGAGGCUUUGCAGAUACACAAAGGACAUGUGAGGACAGGCGAAGGUCAUGAUCAUUGCCAGCCCCUCCCCCAACUUGACAUUCCCAGAUCUGGUGGACUUCCAACCAGAGGAGAGAGAAGGACUGGAUCAUUCAACUCUGCCAUGGAUGCCAGGACCACAUUUUUCCAUGGUUAACUCGGUCACAUCCUGUCUGGGAUCUCCAACUACUACCCAUCCCACAAGUCUCAGCUAAAACAGCAAUUCAAUGAGGAAAUUUUUUCUGAGGCUCCAGGAUUGGGCCAGGCCCACUCCAUGGCUCUCUGCCCUUCCCCUACUGCAGAACUUAGCACCCGUAUGUCACUAUUGGUUCAAACAUGUGUCUUUCGUAUGCUCUCCACGUUAUCUGCAGCAUCUGCCAAGAAUAAUAAUGAAUGGUAAAACCUAAUUUCUAUUGAGUGUCGAUGAUGCACUUUUAACCUGACAUCUUAUUUAAUCCUCACUACAUCUGCAAGAGUAGAAGAUAUUAAUAGCCAAUUUUCAGAUAAGAAAAUCAAAGCACAAUUUCUAUAACUUACCCAAGCAGCUAGCUAGGAGGCAGCUCAGUUUGAGCCCAGGGAAUCAUAUUCUAGAGACCGUCUUCUCAAUUACUAGAGCAGGUACCUCCCCAGAAUCUAGCAGGUGAUUAACGAAUCUUUGUGGAAUAAAUGAACAGAAGGACAAGCAGAUGGAUGGAUACAUAGGCUGGAGUCCAAGGACACAUUCUCGGCUCACUGCAACCUCGUCCUCACUGCAACCUCGUCCUCACUGCAACCACCUCCUCACUGCAACCUGCUCCUCACUGCAACCUCCUCCUCACUGCAACCUCCUCCUCACUGCAACCUGCUCCUCACUGCAACCUGCUCCUCACUGCAACCUCCUCCUCACUGCAACCUCCUCCUCACUGCAACC